rnacentral:pre_miRNA from 1 species
CAUUUUGGACAUUCUGCUUUCAAUUCCCGCGGAACUGAAAGCCUAAUGCCCAGAAAGCG